rnacentral:lncRNA from 1 species
GCGGGCCCAGUCAACAGCUACCAAACUUGGGAAAAUAUGCCUGAAGCCAGCCAUACCUGCAGCCCCUCCCGUGCCCUUGCCCAGCCGACACCGCCGAGUGUGUUCAGAUGAAGGGGGGAAGCUCUCUCCUUUCCUGCCCCCUGAGAUCUUCCAGAAGCUGCAGGUGGCAGAAUCGCACAACUCUAAGAAACUCUGUCUCUACAGCGGCAGAUGAUGGAGAAUCUGGUGAUCGCCAAAGCAAGAGAAGAGACACUGCAGCGGAAGAUGGAGCAGCGCCGCCUGCGACUUCAGGAGGCUGCCAACAGGAGGUUCUGCAGUCAAGUUGCUCUGACCCCAGAGGAGCGGGAGCAGCGAGCCCUGUAUGCUGCCAUCUUGGAAUAUGAGCAAGACCAUGACUGGCCAAAGCACUGG